rnacentral:tRNA from 1 species
CGUAGCUCAGUUGGUAGAGCAACUGACUCUUAAUCAGUGGGUCGAGAGUUCGAGCCUCUCCG